rnacentral:rRNA from 1 species
AGUGAACGCUGGCGGUAGGCCUAACACAUGCAAGUCGAACGGCAGCACAGGAGAGCUUGCUCUCUGGGUGGCGAGUGGCGGACGGGUGAGGAAUACAUCGGAAUCUACUCUGUCGUGGGGGAUAACGUAGGGAAACUUACGCUAAUACCGCAUACGACCUACGGGUGAAAGCAGGGGAUCUUCGGACCUUGCGCGAUUGAAUGAGCCGAUGUCGGAUUAGCUAGUUGGCGGGGUAAAGGCCCACCAAGGCGACGAUCCGUAGCUGGUCUGAGAGGAUGAUCAGCCACACUGGAACUGGAACACGGUCCAGACUCCUACGGGAGUCAGCAGUGGGGAAUAUUGGACAAUGGGCGCAAGCCUGAUCCAGCCAUACCGCGUGGGUGAAGAAGGCCUUCGGGUUGUAAAGCCCUUUUGUUGGGAAAGAAAUCCAGCUGGCUAAUACCCGGUUGGGAUGACGGUACCCAAAGAAUAAGCACCGGCUAACUUCGUGCCAGCCGCCGCGGUAA